UCACCGGUGAUGACGGAAAAAAGUAAUUCAGUACUUUCAUUCAGAGAGCUAGUGGUUGGUGCGAACUAGUUGAAACUACCGGGUGAAGUUCCUUCCCGAACCGCAGGCUGAAAAUUAUAGUAGGCCGUGCCGUAAUUGUCUACGUUACAGACUUAAAGUAGAUCUUAGGAUUAAAACAGGGUGGUACCGCGGCUUUUUCGCCCCUUAG
rnacentral:ncRNA from 1 species